rnacentral:rRNA from 1 species
UGGGGAAUAUUGGGCAAUGGGCGCAAGCCUGACCCAGCAACGCCGCGUGAAGGAAGAAGGCUUUCGGGUUGUAAACUUCUUUUCUCAGGGACGAAGCAAGUGACGGUACCUGAGGAAUAAGCCACGGCUAACUACGUGCCAGCAGCCGCGGUAAUACGUAGGUGGCAAGCGUUAUCCGGAUUUACUGGGUGUAAAGGGCGUGUAGGCGGGACUGCAAGUCAGAUGUGAAAACCAUGGGCUCAACCUGUGGCCUGCAUUUGAAACUGUAGUUCUUGAGUACUGGAGAGGCAGACGGAAUUCCUA